GGUGUCCCCAUCCCCUAUGGUGUCCCAUCCCCUGUGGUGUCUCCCCGUGGUGUCCUCUCAUGGUGUCCCCGUCCCCCCUGUGGUGUCCCCAUCCCGUCUGGUGUCUCCCCGUGGUGUGCCUUUGUGGUGUCCCCAUCCCUCAUGGUGUCUUCUCCAUGGUGUCCCCAUCCUCUCUGUUGUCUCCUCGUGGCGUUCUCUCGUGGUGUCGCCAUCCUCCAUGGUAUCUGCUGUAUGGUGUCCCCAACCCCUGUGGUGUCUCCAUUUCCUGUGGUGUCUCCCUGUGGUGUCCCCUUGUGGUGUCCCCAUCCCCCAUGGUAUCCUCUCCAUGGUGCUCCCAUCGUGUCUGGUGUCCCCAUCACCUACGGUGUCCCCAUCCCCUAUGGCGUCCCCUCGUGGUGUCUCUGUUUGUCGCGGUGUCCCCAUCUCCCAUGGUGUCCCCAACCCCGUGGUUGUCCCCCUUGUGUCCCCAUCCCCUCUGAUGUCCCCUUAUGGUGUCCCUGUCCCUUGCUGUGACCCCCUACAGCGUGUCCUUGCGGUGUCCCCGUGCUCUACAAUGUCUUGUGCCCUGCGGUGUCCCCUCAAAGUGUCCUCUCGUGGUGUCCCCGUCCCCCAUGGUGUCCCCUUGCGGUGUUCCUAUCCCCCACGAUGUCCCUGUCCCCUCCCGGCAUCUCUUCCCACACGUCCCCUCCCAAUGUCCGGGCUGUCCCCUGGUACCCCACGGUCCCCUGUCACCAGCCCUGCGUGUCCCCACAGAGUGACCCCUCCUGUGGCGUGGGUUUGUCCCCGUGCCUGUUCUCGGGGGGUGGCACUUUCCCCGUCCCCUUGCAUGGCGGUGGCACUGUCCUUGUCCCUGCGCAUGAGCGACACUGUCCCCAUGCAGAGAGGUGGCACUGUCCCUGUCCGCAUGCACGAGGCUGACACCGUCCUUGUGCUUGAGAGUGACGCUGUCCCCAUGCGCGUGGGUGGCCCUGGCAUUGUCCCUGUGCAUGGCAGUGGCGCUGUCCCUGUCCCUGUGCAUGGCGGUGGCACUGUCCCGGUCCCCAUGCACAGAGGUGACACUGUCUCUGUGCAUGGGAGUGCCCCUGUCCCCGUGCACAGGGGUGGCACUGUCCCCAUCUCCUUGCACGGCGGUGGCACUGUCCCUGUCCCCAUGCACGGGGGUGACGCUGUCCUUGUCCCUGUGCAUGAGAGUGACACUGUCCCCGUGCACAGGGGUGGCACUGUCCCCAUCCCCUUGCAUGGCGGUGGCACUGUCCCUGUCCCCAUGCACGGGGGUGACGCUGUCCCCAUCCCCUUGCACGGCGGGGGGACUGUCCCUGUCCCCCUGCCCAGGGGUGGNNNNNNNNNNNNNNNNNNNNNNNN
rnacentral:lncRNA from 1 species